rnacentral:rRNA from 1 species
AGAGUUUGAUCCUGGCUCAGAUUGAACGCUGGCGGCAGGCUUAACACAUGCAAGUCGAACGAUGAUUAUCUAGCUUGCUAGAUAUGAUUAGUGGCGGACGGGUGAGUAACAUUUAGGAAUCUGCCUAGUAGUGGGGGAUAGCUCGGGGAAACUCGAAUUAAUACCGCAUACGACCUACGGGUGAAAGGGGGCGCAAGCUCUUGCUAUUAGAUGAGCCUAAAUCAGAUUAGCUAGUUGGUGGGGUAAAGGCCCACCAAGGCGACGAUCUGUAACUGGUCUGAGAGGAUGAUCAGUCACACCGGAACUGAGACACGGUCCGGACUCCUACGGGAGGCAGCAGUGGGGAAUAUUGGACAAUGGGGGCAACCCUGAUCCAGCCAUGCCGCGUGUGUGAAGAAGGCCUUUUGGUUGUAAAGCACUUUAAGCAGGGAGGAGAGGCUAAUGGUUAAUACCCAUUAGAUUAGACGUUACCUGCAGAAUAAGCACCGGCUAACUCUGUGCCAGCAGCCGCGGUAAU